rnacentral:rRNA from 1 species
UACGUAGGUGGCAAGCGUUGUCCGGAUUUACUGGGCGUAAAGAGCGCGCAGGCGGUCGGAUAAGUCGAAUGUGAAAGCCCCCGGCUCAACUGGGGAGGGUCACUCGAUACUGAUCGACUCGAAGGCAGGAGAGGGAAGCGGAAUUCCCGGUGUAGUGGUGAAAUGCGUAGAUAUCGGGAGGAACACCAGUGGCGAAGGCGGCUUUCUGGCCUGUUCUUGACGCUGAGGCGCGAAAGCUAGGGUAGCAAACGGGG